UACGUAGGGGGCGAGCGUUGUCCGAAGUUACUGGGCGUAAAGCGCGCGUAGGCGGGGGAUUAAGUGAGAGGUGAAAGGCUGGGGCUCAACCUCAUGCAGUGCCUCUCAUACUGGUCCUCUUGAGGGCGGUAGGGAGAAGUGGAAUGGCUGGUGUAGCGGUGAAAUGCGUAGAUAUCAGUCGGAACACCGGUGGCGAAGGCGGCUUCUUGGGCCGUUCCUGACGCUGAGGCGCGAAAGCGUGGGGAGCGAACAGG
rnacentral:rRNA from 1 species